CUGGAGGUAUCAGAAGUGCGAAUGCUGACAUAAGUAACGAUAAAGCGGGUGAAAAGCCCGCUCGCCGGAAGACCAAGGGUUCCUGUCCAACGUUAAUCGGGGCAGGGUGAGUCGACCCCUAAGGCGAGGCCGAAAGGCGUAGUCGAUGGGAAACAGGUUAAUAUUCCUGUACUUGGUGUUACUGCGAAGGGGGGACGGAGAAGGCUAUGUUGGCCGGGCGACGGUUGUCCCGGUUUAAGCGUGUAGGCUGGUUUUCCAGGCAAAUCCGGAAAAUCAAGGCUGAGGCGUGAUGACGAGGCACUACGGUGCUGAAGCAACAAAUGCCCUGCUUCCAGGAAAAGCCUCUAAGCAUCAGGUAACAUCAAAUCGUACCCCAAACCGACACAGGUGGUCAGGUAGAGAAUACCAAGGCGCUUGAGAGAACUCGGGUGAAGGAACUAGGCAAAAUGGUGCCGUAACUUCGGGAGAAGGCACGCUGAUAUGUAGGUGAAGCGACUUGCUCGUGGAGCUGAAAUCAGUCGAAGAUACCAGCUGGCUGCAACUGUUUAUUAAAAACACAGCACUGUGCAAACACGAAAGUGGACGUAUACGGUGUGACGCCUGCCCGGUGCCGGAAGGUUAAUUGAUGGGGUCAGCGCAAGCGAAGCUCUUGAUCGAAGCCCCGGUA
rnacentral:rRNA from 1 species